GUGAACGCUGGCGGUAGGCCUAACACAUGUACGUCGAACGGCAGCACAGUAAGAGCUUGCUCUUACGGGUGGCGAGUGGCGGACGGGUGAGGAAUACAUCGGAAUCUACUUUUUCGUGGGGGAUAACGUAGGGAAACUUACGCUAAUACCGCAUACGACCUACGGGUGAAAGCAGGGGAUCUUCGGACCUUGCGCGAUUGAAUGAGCCGAUGUCGGAUUAGCUAGUUGGCGGGGUAAAGGCCCACCAAGGCGACGAUCCGUAGCUGGUCUGAGAGGAUGAUCAGCCACACUGGAACUGAGACACGGUCCAGACUCCUACGGGAGGCAGCAGUGGGGAAUAUUGGACAAUGGGCGCAAGCCUGAUCCAGCCAUACCGCGUGGGUGAAGAAGGCCUUCGGGUUGUAAAGCCCUUUUGUUGGGAAAGAAAAGCAGCAGGUUAAUACCCCGCUGUUCUGACGGUACCCAAAGAAUAAGCACCGGCUAACUUCGUG
rnacentral:rRNA from 1 species